rnacentral:rRNA from 1 species
GAUGAACGUUGGCGGCGUGCCUAAUACAUGCAAGUCGAACGGAGAUUGUAGCAAUACGGUCUCAGUGGCGAACGGGUGAGUAACGCGUUGGUGACCUGCCCCGAAGUGUGGAAUAACAGAUCGAAAGAGCUGCUAAUACCGCAUAAUAUCCAGAGGACUAGAUGCCUUUGGAUUAAAGGAUUUAUUCGCUUCGGGAGGGGCCUGCGUCCCAUCAGCUAGUUGGUAAGGUAAUGGCUUACCAAGGCGAUGACGGGUAGGGACCUGAGAGGGUGGCCCCCCACAAUGGAACUGAAACACGGUCCAUACACCUACGGGUGGCAGCAGUAGGGAAUAUUAGUAAUGGGCGAAAGCCUGAACUAGCAACGCCGCGUGUGCGAAGAAGGCCUUCGGGUUGUAAAGCACUUUUUGAGAGGAUGAGGAAGGACGGUACUCUCAGAAUAAGUCUCGGCUAACUACGUGCCAGCAGCCGCGGUAAAACGUGCGUG